rnacentral:SRP_RNA from 1 species
GGGCCGUGGGGAGGGCCUAGUUUACUGGGCCAGACAACCAUGCACGGCGUGGCAGGGCCCUGUCAACCCCCACGUAAGGCAAUGACCCCCGCCCCAUGGGGCUUGCGGUGGCGGAGCCCUCCCUGGAGGGGGAGGGUGAACCGUCUUAGCCAGGGGAACCCGGCCAGGCCCGGAAGGGAGCAACCUAACCCUGGCCGCAAGCGUUCAUGGGUCACCGGGGUUGAGACCUGCGUGGAAGGGCUCUGGCAGGGUCUUCCACGCUGUGCAUGGGGCUGCGGCCC